AUUAACAGUAAUUGAGUUAGAAACUGUAAUCUCAAUUUAUGAUAAUUAGAAUUCUUUUUGAAAUAAAACACAUAUACUAAUUGUUUCUAUUAAAACAAACAAACACAUAUAUUUGAUACUUACCGACACCGGCAAUGUAGUUGUAUUUGUCGCCAUUAAUGUAGAUGUUGGGGAUAUGGGAAACCUUGGGCCAUUCAGAAUCAGCUGCCUCCCUUUUAAUCACUAAUUCCGGGCAAUUCUCAAUAUGUAGUUUGUUUAAUGUUGUAAGACGCUGCAUUGCAUCCAUAGAGGGUAGACGCCUUAGCCUUUUGCAGUUACAUAACCUCAAAUCCUUUAGGGAUGAGAGGUUCCCAAACCAUUCAGGUAACUCUUCCAUUCCAAAAUUAUCUAAAAUCAACUCCUUUAGAGAUGAGAGGUUCCCAAACCAUUCAGGUAACUCUUCCAUUCCAAAAUCAUAUAACCAUAACUGAGAAAGAGCAGUGAGAAGUUGAAUUGAUUCCGGUAGGCAUUCCCAACUUUCCAUCCCCGCCAAACUUAACUUAUCAAGUGAGUGGCAACAUCCUUGCAAUAUGGCAUCCACAGUCUCCACCCCCAUACUAACAUCGAUGUUUAUGUCUCUCAAGCUGGGAAAAGGCGAAAUCUUAAGACAACUAGUGGCCAUAAAUUUAGGAACUCCUUCGAUUAACAAUUGUGUUAGACGAGGUAAUUUUGGGAGGCAGUCAAUUACCCUUGGUAGAUUCUUUAGGCUACUCAAACCCUCCAACCACAGCUCCUCAAGAGAGAAUCCUAGGAUUUCACAUGGCAAAUGC
rnacentral:lncRNA from 1 species